rnacentral:lncRNA from 1 species
AAACGCUCCAUCUUGCGGGCCGAAGCGCGAGUGCUGCUCUGUGACAGCCUCCGGCCGCGGCCUUCCCAGCUGCUACCGCCGCUUUUCGGAUGGGCUGUGAUAGAUGGAGUAGCAGCGAAGACUGCUAGAAGAGCGUUUUCAGUCGGCCUUUAGUGAUUCGUAAAACCAAAUUAGCUGGUUUCUACUUGGAAGGGGUACAGGUGCGUGUGGUGGUUCCAGUUUUCUGUGAAAUAGAGUUAGAUGGCCAGGCACAGUGGCUCACGUCUGUAAUCCCAGCACUUUGGGUGGCCGAGGCGGGCGGAUCACCUGAGGUCAGGAGUUCAAGACCAGCCUGGACAACAUGGCGAAACCCCGUCUCUACUAAAAAUACAAAAAUUAGCUGGGCGUCGUGGCGAGCGCCUCUAAUUCCAGCUACUCAGGAGGCUGAGGCAGGAAAAUCGCUUGAACCUGCGAGGCGGAGGUUGCAGUGAGCCGAGAUCACUCCUCUGUCUCCAAAAAAAGAAAAAAAAGAAAGAAAGAAAUAGAGAUACCAGGCACAUCUCGAAUAGUGAAAUAAAUAUUUAGUGAAAUAUUUUAUUCAGUCAUAGGCACUUGUGUUGUGCACUGGGUCACAGAUAUUACUGUGGGCGGGGUGGGGGAGGUCACCUUGAAAUCCAAAGUCUCCUCUUGAAAAAAAGUUUCUGCUGGUAGGUGUGGUGGCUCAGAUUUGUAAUCCCAGCACUGUGGGAGGCUGAGGUGGGAGGAUCGAUUGAGUCCAGGAGUUCGAGACCAGCCUCAUGGAGACGAGGCAACACAGUAAGACCCCUUCUUUACAAGAAAUGCAAAAAUUAGCUGGGCCGGUGGCUCGUCUGUGGUCUCAGCUACCUAGGAAGCUGAGGUGGGAGAAUCUGGGAGAAUUGCUUGAGCCCAGGAGUUUGAGGCUGCAGUGAGCUGCCAUCUCACCACUGCACCCCAACCUGGGCAACAGAGCAAAACUCUGUCUCUUAAAAAAAAUUUUUUUUUAAUUAAAUGUCCUGCACUCUUAGAUCAUCUCAGUGUUCUUAUUAAGCAUCCACAAGCCUAAAGAUAAGACCUACAGUAGUAGCAGAAGUUCAGGACUUCCUACCAUGGAAAGUAUAGUCAACCACAAGAAAUAAACAUGGAGAGCGUUAAACAUCUUGAAGAAUUGACCCAACUAUAAAUAAAGUAAGGUGUUAUCUACAGGCUCAGACCAUAUUAGGGAAAUUGAGGCACACACAAGAUGUAAAUAAAUCAGUCCUUACCAAAUAUCAAAAUCAGCAUUGACAGUAUACCCAGUAUCAACAAAAUCAGAGUUCAUGCCGGCUCAAAGAUUGUAACAUUUCAUUCCUAAGUGAAGAUAUCCGUAUGAUCUUUUUAACUUCGAAAAUACUCAAUAGAGUAAAUACUCCAAACAGUAGUGAUCCCGAAUUAUCUUUUCAUGACAAAAAUUCCUUCUAUGGCAGGAAUAUUGUUCACAUAAGUGAGAAAUUGAACUCCUACAGAGAAAACGACUUCCUCAAAAUAAAAAUCUAAAAAAAUCGCUUGCUUUUUGGACUAGAGAAACUUUUAUCAAUUCAAACUAUGUCAAAGGAAUAGGGGUCAUAGAUCCCAUGCGAAUUUCCUUAGGUCCACCUGCAGCUUUUUCUGGAGUCUGACUCUGCCCUUAAAAUACCCUUGCCAGAAUUCUGAAGGUUGGCUACACUAUGUGAUCAACGUUUUUUAUUUAUUUAUUUAUUUAGAGACAGGGACUCACUCUGUGUCCCACACUGGAGUGCAGUGACAUGAUCAUAGCUCACUACAGCCUCAAUCUUCUGGGCCAAGCGAUCCUCCCACCUCAGCCCCCCAAGUUCCUGGGACUACAAGCACAUACCACCAUGCACCGCUAGUUUUUUAAAUUUUUUGAAGAGAUGGAGUCUCCCUGUAUUGCCCAGGCUGGUCUCAAUCCUGGUUUAAGCCAUCCUCCUGCCUUGACCUCACAAAGUGGUGGGAUUACAGGCAUGAGCCAUCUUGCCCGGCAUGAUCAGUGUUUUUUGUUGUUUUGGGUGGUAGAGUUGAAGUCGUUUUUGUGGUGAAAUCGAAGUAUUACCGUAUUACCAACUCAUUUUUUAAAAUAUGAAAUGUAUAAAGAAAAAAUAUUAGAAAAUUGAAGUUUAGCACCAAUAUUAAUGGAAAAUAAUGCAUUGUGUUCCAAAAUGUAAAAAGUUGCAAAUUGCACAAUUAGAGGUUAGCAAUCUCAGCCUCCUAAUUAGUAGACUUUGAGGUACUUGUACGUACUUGUUGCCUUAGGCUUCAUCAACAAGAGAUUAUAAUUAAGAUGCUUCCUGAAAACUAUUUUUAGUAGAUUUAAGCCUGACUUCAGUUGAACUGUUUCCUAAUAAUUGUUCUCGUUUGUUUUCAUUAAUGCUGGGAACAGUGCUAACUUUCUGACAAAUCUACCAUGAUGUGACUCCUGAUUACCUUGUUUAGCUUCAUACCCUGACACUCUUUUUGCAUUUUAAAUUAUCAAUAACAAGAAUUAACGUGUAUUGAUGGUUUGCCGCACACCAGCUACUGAAUUCAGCGUUUCACAGCUGUUAAGGCUCCCUAAAAUCCUGAGGUAGGAAUUAUCAGCCUUCAUUUUAUAAAUGAGAAAAUUAUGGCUUUUCAAAGCUCUGGUGAUUACCCAAGGUCACAAAGCUUCUAAUGAUAGAGGCAGGUUUUAAAUCUAGACAAUGUGAUUCCAAGAACUCACGUCUUUGAAGAUUACAUGUAGUUUUCUAAUAAACUAUACUUUUCCUUCUUCCUGGAGUAUCUCUCUCAUAGUCAUCCUACCAAAUAGCUAUGAAUUCAUAACUCAGUUCAAAAGUCAAUACUCUGGUUUCUCUUUAGAGUGUAUAAAUCUUUUGCCUUUUACAAAAGUCACUUCUACAUCUUCUCUAAUCUCCUUCCUAAUAAAUAUGCUCUUCACUCCCACCUAUGCUACUACUAAAUCUAAUACAUUUGUUAUUAUACUUUCCAUGCAAUAAUUAUUUAUCCAUCUCUCUCCCCCCCAACCCCCACUAAACCAUGAGCACUCUGAGGGAAUGGAUUGCUUCUCACUCAUCUCUCAAUUCUCAGUUCUUUGUCCUGUGCCCUUCAUGUGAUCAACAAAUUAUUGUGGAAUUAAAUUAACAGUUAACACUUGCUAUUACUACUUAGAUUGCUCUUCUUUCCUGGCUUCCUAAAAUGUUCCUGUUAAUCUUUCCCAUUCUUUCAGGUUAAAUUACUCAAGGGUUGUCAGUACUUGGUGCCCUCUCCUCACUUCCUAAGCGCUCCAAAAACUAUUAAUAUCUGGGUUUAGCCACCACCACUCUACAAAAACAGCUUUCACUAAUGCCAUCAAUAACCUCUGGUUGCUAAAUGCAAUGAACACUUUUUUUAGUUUUAAGUUUUUAUUUUUGAGAUGGGGUCUUGCUGUGUUGCCCAGACUGGUCUCAAACCCUUGGGUUCAUGCAGUCCUUCUGCCUCAGGCUCCCAAGUUGCUGAGACUACAGGCACGUGCCACCAUGCCUGGCUUCAGUUUUUUAUUUACGUGACUCUCAGUAGCAUUUGAUGCUGUUGACCACGCUGUCCUUAAAAUAAUCUUCCUCUUGGUAUUCAGAAACCAAGCUUCUCUUACCUAUUCUGGUUUAUACAUCUGUCUUCUCAGCCUACUCAUUGUCCUUAACUAUUAAAUAUGUGUUUUUCUCAGGUUCAGUUUUUGUCUCUAUUCUCUUCCAACUGUACUGUCUCCCUAGGUGAUCUCAUCCAAGCUCACAAUUUUAAUUUCCAUCUGUUUAGUCAGGGACUCUCAAAUCGUUAUCUUUAGUCUGUAACUCGCUUCUGGGAUCUUGACCCAUAUAUGCAACUGCCAAGUUACUAUUUCCAUUUGGAGUAUCAAAGUGACCUCAAAAGUCAAGAUGUCCAAAAGUGACCUCAAAAGUCAAGAUGUCCAAAACUGACCUGAUUUUCUUUACCUUUCCCAUAACUACAACAACGAGAAUG